rnacentral:rRNA from 1 species
GGCCGCGGGAAUUCGAUUAGAGUUUGAUCCUGGCUCAGAACGAACGCUGGCGGCGUGGAUAAGACAUGCAAGUCGAACGAGACUUUUCGCUGUAGCAAUACAGUGAAAAGUUUAGUGGCGAACGGGUGCGUAACACGUGGGCAAUCUGCCUUAAAGUGGGGGAUAGCUCGGCGAAAGCCGAAUUAAUACCGCAUGUGGUCAGGGAAGACAUCUUCCCAACACCAAAGCCGGGGCAACCUGGCGCUUUUUGAUGAGCCCGCGGCCUAUCAGCUAGUUGGUGAGGUAACGGCUCACCAAGGCUAUGACGGGUAGCUGGUCUGAGAGGACGACCAGUCACACUGGAACUGAGACACGGUCCAGACACCUACGGGUGGCAGCAGUCGAGAAUUUUUCUCAAUGGGGGAAACCCUGAAGGAGCGACGCCGCGUGGAGGAUGAAGGCUUUCGGGUUGUAAACUCCUGUCAUUUGGGAACAAGGUGCACCGGUUAACUGCCGGAGUAUUGAUAGUACCAGAAGAGGAAGAGACGGCUAACUCUGUGCCAGCAGCCGCGGUAAUACAGAGGUCUCAAGCGUUGUCCGGAUUCAUUGGGCGUAAAUGGUGCGUACGUGGCCCGCCACUUCAGGUGUUAAAUUUGGGAGCUUACUCCCGAAACUGCAUUUGAAAUCUGGCUGCUCUAAGACUGGAAAGGACAAUGAAAUCCACGGGGUACCCUGAAAUGGGUUCAUUUCCGAAGGAAACCAUGGGCCAAGGCCACAUCCUGGACGUUGGCUGACCCUAAGCACAAGGCCCGGGCAGCCACGGGAUUAGAAUCCCGGGUUUUCGGGGCCGGG